rnacentral:rRNA from 1 species
UACGAAGGGGGCUAGCGUUGCUCGGAAUCACUGGGCGUAAAGCGCACGUAGGCGGAUUGUUAAGUCAGGGGUGAAAUCCUGGAGCUCAACUCCAGAACUGCCUUUGAUACUGGCGACCUUGAGUCCGGGAGAGGUGAGUGGAACUGCGAGUGUAGAGGUGAAAUUCGUAGAUAUUCGCAAGAACACCAGUGGCGAAGGCGGCUCACUGGCCCGGUACUAACGCUGAGGUGCGAAAGCGUGGGGAGCAAACAGG